GAUGAAUGCUGGCGGCGCGCCUAACACAUGCAAGUCGAGCGGAAAGGCCCUUCGGGGUACUCGAGCGGCGGACGGCUGAGUAACGCGUGGGAACAUGCCCCAAAGUGAGGAAUAACUGCCCGAAAGGGUAGCUAAUACCGCAUAUGAUUUUUGGAUUAAAGGAUUUAUCCGCUUUGGGAGUGGCCCGCGUACGAUUAGAUAGUUGGUGAGGUAAAGGCUCACCAAGUUUACGAUCGUUAACUGGUUUGAGAGGAUGAUCAGUCAGACUGGAACUGAGACACGGUCCAGACUCCUACGGGAGGCAGCAGUGAGGAAUUUUCCCCAAUGGGCGAAAGCCUGAUGGAGCGACGCCGCGUGCAGGAUGAAGGCCUUCGGGUUGUAAACUGCUUUUAUAAGUGAAGAAUAUGACGGUAACUUAUGAAUAAGCACCGGCUAACUACGUG
rnacentral:rRNA from 1 species